rnacentral:rRNA from 1 species
GUAAAGCGCACGCAGGCGGUCUGUCAAGUCGGAUGUGAAAUCCCCGGGCUCAACCUGGGAACUGCAUUCGAAACUGGCAGGCUUGAGUCUUGUAGAGGGGGGUAGAAUUCCAGGUGUAGCGGUGAAAUGCGUAGAGAUCUGGAGGAAUACCGGUGGCGAAGGCGGCCCCCUGGACAAAGACUGACGCUCAGGUGCGAAAGCGUGGGGAGCAAACAGGAUUAGAUACCCUGGUAGUCCACGCCGUAAACGAUGUCUACUUGGAGGUUGUGCCCUUGAGGCGUGGCUUCCGGAGCUAACGCGUUAAGUAGACCGCCUGGGGAGUACGGCCGCAAGGUUAAAACUCAAAUGAAUUGACGGGGGCCCGCACAAGCGGUGGAGCAUGUGGUUUAAUUCGAUGCAACGCGAAGAACCUUAC